GCUAGAGGAUAACUCCACCCCCCCCCCCCAACCAGUGGGCCCUAAAGCAGCCACCCACAAAGAGUGCGUCAAAGCUCAUUAAGCAAAAAUCCAAAGACUAUACGACUCCCUACACCCUCAGCAGGCCAACCUAUAACAAUAGAUGAAUCAAUGCUAGAACGAGUAACCGAGGCACUACGCCUCCUCAAGCGCUAACCUAGACACCAUUAACAGUGCAACCACAAUACCAAGCCCGCCCCGACCAAACAUUGAACACACCCUGUUAACCCAACCCAGGAGCGCACACCUAGGACGAUUAAAAUCUGCAAAAGGAACUCGGCAAACCCAAGGCCCGACUGUUUACCAAAAACAUAGCCUUCAGCCAAACAAGUAUUGAAGGUGAUGCCUGCCCAGUGACACCACGUUCAACGGCCGCGGUAUCCUAACCGUGCAAAGGUAGCGCAAUCAAUUGUCCCAUAAAUAGAGACUUGUAUGAAUGGCUAAACGAGGCCCUAACUGUCUCCUGCAGAUAAUCAGUGAAACUGAUCCCCCUGUACAAAAGCAGGGAUAGCCACAUAAGACAAGAAGACCCUGUGGAACUUCAAAAUCAGUAGCCACCAACAAAUCACCCCUAAACCUACCAGGCCCACCACCCAAAACAGCUGGCUAACAUUUUUAGGUUGGGGCGACCUUGGAGAAAAACAAACCCUCCAAAAAUAAGGCCAGACCCCCUAACUAAGAGCAACCCCUCAACGUGCCAACAGUACCCAGACCCAAUAAAAUUGACCAAUGAACCAAGCUACCCCAGGGAUAACAGCGCAAUCUCCUUCAAGAGCCCCUAUCGACAAGGAGGUUUACGACCUCGAUGUUGGAUCAGGACAUCCUAGUGGUGCAGCCGCUACUAAGGGUUCGUUUGUUCAACGAUUAAAAGUCCUACGUGAUCUGAGUUCAAA
rnacentral:rRNA from 1 species